GACGAACGCUGGCGGCGUGCUUAACACAUGCAAGUCGAACGGAAAGGCCCUGCUUUUGUGGGGUGCUCGAGUGGCGAACAGGUGAGUAACACGUGAGUAACCUUCCCUUGACUUUGGGAUAACUUCAGGAAACUGGGGCUAAUACCGGAUAGGAGCUCCUGCUGCAUGGUGGGGGUUGGAAAGUUUCGGCGGUUGGGGAUGGACUCGCGGCUUAUCAGCUUGUUGGUGGGGUAGUGGCUUACCAAGGCUUUGACGGGUAGCCGGCCUGAGAGGGUGACCGGCCACAUUGGGACUGAGAUACGGACCAGACUGCUACGGGAGGCAGCAGUGGGGAAUAUUGCACAAUGGGCGGAAGCCUGAUGAAGCAACGCCGCGUGCGGGAUGAAGGCCUUCGGGUUGUAAACCGCUUUCGCCUGUGACGAAGCGUGAGUGACGGUAAUGGGUAAAGAAGCACCGGCUAACUACGUG
rnacentral:rRNA from 1 species